AACCAGCUGACCUCUUCCGUGCUGGCAGGAGCGAAGUCCACUGGCGGGAGCAAACUCUGUGCAGGCCCCUUUGACCCCAAGGCCGUGACCAUGAAGUUUGGGGAGAUUAUCUUCAAGGACAUGCCCUGAAUAGGAUCAGUUACUCAAAAAGUAUGACGGAAUACAUGUGCAGAGAUAUCCUUCCAGGAAUAAGAAAAAUAAUAUGAAGUAAAUAUUUAAUUUUUUUUUUCUGGAACAUUGCUGAACUGGAAGUAAAGAACUGGAACUAGAGGAAACAAACAAUGAGAAAGUAUAAUUCCAUGAGGAUUAGCUGAAUCCUAGAGGUUGCCUGAUCCUUCGGAAUAUCUGCCAAUUGUUAUAGCCUGAAGUCUGGAUGUUAAUUGGCAUAUGCUUUAAAAACAGAAGUGAAAACCAGGUGCCAGAGUAGAGAAGUCCUCUACAGCCAUUUCCUGUGAACCAAGAUAGUAAAUUUGAUCCGCCUCCAAAGAUGAGGAGGAGGAAGUUGUGACUGCCAAUAAAAAGAAGCUUGAUUGUGGCCUUUCUGUAAGUAGAGGUGUACCCACACUGGUUGAAAAUAUCUUCAAAAUGAACACAAAUAAAUAUCCCUAAAACUCUUCUGGAUUCAGCUUGUGGGAAAGAGCAUUAUGAAGGGAAGGCAACUUGGUAGUUUUAUAAAAAGUACUCAGAAAAAUAAGUCUUCGUGUCUCAGUUGGAUACAUUUUAAAACUGAUGUUGAUAAAAUCAUAUGAAAACAAGUAAAUGGGUAAAACUGAGAUAAUCAGCAUACUUUUUAUUUUCUAUAAAAUAAAUACAGUUGACUUGAACAACACAGGAUUGAAGUGCAUGGAUCCACUUAU